rnacentral:rRNA from 1 species
CCUACGGGAGGCAGCAGUGAGGAAUAUUGGUCAAUGGGCGCGAGCCUGAACCAGCCAAGUAGCGUGAAGGAUGACUGCCCUACGGGUUGUAAACUUCUUUUAUAAAGGAAUAAAGUGAGGCACGUGUGCCGUUUUGUAUGUACUUUAUGAAUAAGGAUCGGCUAACUCCGUGCCAGCAGCCGCGGGAAUACGGAGGAACCGAGCGUUAUCCGGGUUUAUUGGGUUUAAAGGGAGCGUAGAGGGGAUGUUAAGUCAGUUGGGAAAGUUUGGGGCUCAACCCUAAAAUUGCAAUUGAUACUGGCGGCCUUGAGUACAGUUGAGGUAGGCGGAAUUCGUGGUGUAGCGGUGAAAUGCUUAGAUAUCACGAAGAACUCCGAUUGCGAAGGCAGCUUACUAACCUGCCACUGACAUUGAUGCUCGAAAGUGUGGGUAUCAAACAGGAUUAGAUACCCGAGUAGUC